rnacentral:misc_RNA from 1 species
GAUGAAGAACGUAGCGAAAUGCGAUAAGUAAUGUGAAUUGCAGAAUUCAGUGAAUCAUCGAAUCUUUGAACGCACAUUGCGCCCGCCAGUAUUCUGGCGGGCAUGCCUGUCCGAGCGUCAUUUCAACCAUCAAGCCCCGGGCUUGUGUUGGGGACCUGCGUCCGACGCAGGCCCUGAAAACCAGUGGCGGGCUCGCUGUCCACACCGAGCGUAGUUACUAACCUCGCUAUGGAGUGGCGCGGGCGCCUGCCGUAAAACCCCCAAUUUCACAAGGUUGACCUCGGAUCAGGUAGGAAUACCCGCUGAACUUAAGCAUAUCAAUAAGCGGAGGA